CUAACGAAUAAGGGGUGGGCAAGUUCUGGUGUCAGCCGCCGCGGUAAAACCAGCACCUCAAGUGGUCAGGAUGAUUAUUGGGCCUAAAGCAUCCGUAGCCGGCUCUGUAAGUUUUCGGUUAAAUCUGUACGCUCAACGUACAGGCUGCCGGGAAUACUGCAGAGCUAGGGAGUGGGAGAGGUAGACGGUACUCGGUAGGAAGGGGUAAAAUCCUUUGAUCUAUUGAUGACCACCUGUGGCGAAGGCGGUCUACCAGAACACGUCCGACGGUGAGGGAUGAAAGCUGGGGGAGCAAACCGGAUUAGAUACCCGGGUAGUCCCAGCUGUAAACUAUGCAAACUCAGUGAUGCAUUGGCUUGUGGCCAAUGCAGUGCUGCAGGGAAGCCGUUAAGUUUGCCGCCUGGGAAGUACGUACGCAAGUAUGAAACUUAAAGGAAUUGGCGGGGGAGCACCACAAGGGGGAAG
rnacentral:rRNA from 1 species